rnacentral:lncRNA from 1 species
GGAAUAACUCACUCUGAUUGGUUUAGGUCUGACUUACCAGGGGUGAGCGUGCUGACAAGGAUUCACAUCUGAUCUUGCAGUAGAAUCAGCCCCUCCCCAACCUAUGUCUAAAAUCACAAAAAGGCAGGAUGCAGGAGAUCUUGGGGACACCUCUGUGAUGCCCACCUACUGUAUGCCAGGCUUUGUACCAGGCCCUGGGGUCACAGUGAACAGGACAUUAACCUGUGGGCUCAGAAGCUCAGACCUGCUGUGAGAGACAGAUGAGAAAGCAGGGAUGUGACGUGCCAUGUGACCCACAUCAUGAAAGCUGGUGUCUGAGAAAGGCUGCCAUGGUCAGCAUGAAAGCUAGUGAUUACGUGAGCGGAGUCUCUGCAGAGAGAAGCAGUAACGCAGGCCUCGGCAGCUUCUGGCUUGUUCCAGGGCCCUCCCUGCUCCGCGGGACCACAGCACUCGAUGCCUCCCUGACCCCUGACCCCUGGCCCAGAGCCGGCCUUCCCUCAGGAAUUGCUCGGAAUAAAAUUUUCCAGAAGGCUUCCUUGGGCUAUUCUCAUUUCUCUCCACUCCUCUCCUCCCUUGCCCUUCUUCUUUCAAACAGAUUAAAA